rnacentral:lncRNA from 1 species
GCGUAUGUUAUUGGGUUUCCGCUUGUUAAGGAAGAUAUGGAUAUGAGAUCCAAAAGCUUGCAUGCCCAGGUUAAAGUAGCCAAUUGAUGAAGGCAUAAUUGGUUGAGGACGCCCCUUAAAAUUGUCUAUCAAAGCUUCCGUGUGUCAAUGUUUGAUUCAGGUGUAAAUAAGGUUCGGUCUAGCACAUUGCACUACGCGCUUAAUAACCUCCGCACUGACAUAUAAUAUUCAGGGAAUCAUAAAAAGAAAUGGCUGCACUUUGGACGCUAUUUCCUGCUGUUGGGGAAGUUUCGUCUCAACUGGAAAGUUUUGCAGAGAGGGAAGAAAACAAGCACAACGGAGUGUUUGUUUUAAGGCAUUCCGGUGCUAGUAGAGUUUGUCACGUGAAAUUAUGAGUUGGAGCACUGAAACCUCUCUUUGAUUUUAAAGAAAGUAAAAGGUAUUUUCUAUGACCACUUGAAAUGCUGAUUAUUAUUAUUAUUAUAAAAAACAAAUAAUGAUAUUAUGCUGUAACCGGUGAGUUAUAUUUUACUUGUCGGUGGGAAAUAUUGUAGUCAGCCUCGCAGGCGUAAACACCUUUUAACAAAUAGCUAGGUUCACUAAUUAUCACUCAUCGCGCAUUUGUCGUCGGUUAAGUCUCAAACCAGGGGCCACAGGCCAACUCCAACCGCGUUCCUCUUUUUUUUUUUUGCCCCAAAUAGGAUCACCAUUACACGGAAAUUUCAUCUAAAUCAUUACUCUCUUCUUGGUCUAAUAAAAUACGUAGUGUUUUUAUUUAUAUAUGACAAUCUUUUUAGUCGUUCUGUAAUACAUAUAACGAUAUGUUAUUUAUGACUUUGAUACUAUGGGGGAUGGUUUAUUAAUUUAGUGAUUUACAAUCAUGAAAACAAUGGCCAGAGGCUGGGAUUUAAUUAAUUACUAUGGUAGACAUUGUUACAUUAUAUAUCUCCAAGAUGUAAUUGAUUUACUGUGUG